rnacentral:rRNA from 1 species
AGCUCCAGUAGCGUAUAUUAAAGUUGUUGCAGUUAAAAAGCUCGUAGUUGGAUCUCGGGUUGUCGACUGUGGUUCAGGUUCAUGCCUGUUUACUGCUGUCGAUACCUAACUGGUGGGAUGCUGUGGGUGCCCUUGACUGGGUCGCCUACUGCACCCGCUCAAUUUACUUUGAAAAAAUUAGAGUGUUCAAGGCAGGCUCACACGCCUGAAUAAUGGUGCAUGGAAUAAUAGAAUAGGAUCUCGGUUCUAUUUUGUUGGUUUUCGGAACUUGAGAUAAUGAUUAAGAGGGACAGACGGGGGCAUUCGUAUUGCGGUGUUAGAGGUGAAAUUCUUGGAUCGCCGCAAGACGAACUACUGCGAAAGCAUUUGCCAAGAAUGUUUUCAUUAAUCAAGAACGAAA